rnacentral:ncRNA from 2 species
CUCUUAUCCCGAGCUGGUGGAGGGGUCAGGCCCUAUGAAACCCGGCAACCUGCAAAGACAUGAUCGUCUGCGAGAAGGUGCCAAACCUGGACCAAGGUAGAAUUCCUUGAACGAUAAGAG